rnacentral:tRNA from 1 species
GGAUCCUUAGCUCAGUUGGUUAGAGCACCUGCCUUACAAGCAGGGGGUCGUAGGUUCGAGUCCUACAGGGUCCACCA